rnacentral:lncRNA from 1 species
UGGCCCAUAAAUUAUUAUCCUUCUAAUACCCUCCUUAAACCCCAAAAUCACUAACAUCCACCCCUCUUCUUCCGCCGCGGCCGCCGCCGUAAUCUCAUUCAUACGACGACGUUUAGGGUAUAAUCAUGAACGCUCCAUCACCCCACCACGAUGAAGAUGAACACGAAGAAGAGGUCUUCAUAGAUGAAAAUGAUAUCAUUCAAGAAAUAAACGUUGAUGAAGAAGGUAUAAAACAAAAGUCCAAUCUUUUCCCCCAAACUCUUAUUUUUUUAUUUUAUUAUAGUUAGAUUUAUGGACAACUACAAAACAAAUAAUGGUUGCAGAGUUAAUUGAUGCUGAUGAAGAUGAUGAAGGAGAAGAAGAAGGAGGAGGAUUGUUAGGUGAGUUAUGUUUGGCUCAAUGGAAGUCUUUUGUUUUAAGUUUUCAGCUUUCUAUUUGACUUAAUCACUUCUAGAUGCCUUCUGAGUAUAUACAGCUAAAAUUUCAUAUAUCUUGGUUACUCAUGUUUCUGCUGUAAUUACUUUUACUUGCUCCCUACAUCCCAAUUUAUGUGAAUGUAUUUGACUGCACUACAGGUUUAAGAAAUAAAGAAAGACUAUUGUAACUUGUGGUCUAAAACAAGCCAUAUAUUUUUGUGAUUAUAAAUCACC